rnacentral:rRNA from 1 species
UACGUAGGUGGCAAGCGUUGUCCGGAAUGACUGGGCGUAAAGGGAGCGUAGGUGGCUGUUUAAGUUAAAUGUGAAAGACCGGGGCUCAACUCCGGAACUGCAUUUAAUACUGGACAGCUAGAGUACAGGAGGGGUAAGCGGAAUUCCUAGUGUAGCGGUUAAAUGCGUAGAUAUUAGGAGGAACACCAGAGGCGAAGGCGGCUUACUGGACUGCAACUGACACUGAGGCUCGAAAGCGUGGGGAUCAAAC